UCUCCGUUGGUGAACCAGCGGAGGGAUCAUUAUCGAGUUUACAACUCCCAAACCCCAUGUGAACCUUACCUAUCGUUGCUUCGGCGGGACCGCCCCGGCGCCUCUGUGCCCGGAUCCAGGCGCCCGCCGGAGACCACAAACUCUUAUGUUUUUGCAUAGCGGCAUUAUCUGAGUAUCAUUAAACAAAUGGAUCAAAACUUUCAACAACGGAUCUCUUGGUUCUG
rnacentral:misc_RNA from 1 species